UGGCAAUGAGGAUAAAGUCUUGGAUGAUGUUAAGUGAUUGCUUUAUACGCUAUUCUGAGCCAGUA